GGGAUUUUGCCGACAUCUUGUGGCAUUAUAGUGCCGAGGAACUACGUUCAUGUCAAUUGAAAAGUUUUAUUUGGACAACGAGAGUGCUUUUCCGGCUAUGUCGGUGUCAAGGAACUAAGUCGAAGUGAGCUGAGGCCUUAACUUCUUUUUCUGCCAUCUUGCGGCAUAUUGGCACCAUGAGACCCUAUUGACAUUAAUUUAGGGGCUUCAAAUAGUCACCAGUCAAAAUUUGCCGGCAUCUUGUAGCAUCUUGGUGCAGAGGAACUAAGUUGCCAUCUUGCCACAUAGAGGAACUUUAUUCA